AUGCUGGGGCCCAGCCAGAGGUUCUGACUUCAUGGGUCUGAGUUAGACCCUGGUACAGUGAGAAGGUCUUCAGGUAACUCCAAUGAUUAUGUGAUGGCCAGCUGCUGCUCUCUCCUGAUCUAGGUUGGAUCACCUGCAUCUGUGUUCCUGGCUGUGCAGAAAACGUAGUUUCUGACUAGGAUUCCCACCUGUCUUUAAUAGUGCCCAUUGUGUAUAUAAUAAGAGCCUGUUUGCACAUCCAUAGGAUGUUUGCUGGGGACAGAGCAGACUGGUCAUCCACAGGAGUCCUUGCCCAAGGGAGGGUUGCAGAGGAAACACCAUUCUGUCCUCUCCUCCGUUCCUGGUUUUGACGUGGAAUGUUGCAAGCCACCACAAGAACUGCUGUGCAGUGAAGGGGGCGACCUCCCAGACCUGACCCCGGGGCAAAGGAAGGCAGCCCAGCACCCUAUAUUCUCCGGACAGUCCUCCUGGGCAAAGACUUACCUGCCUCAUCAGCCAAGCCCCGCAGCCCAGGUUAUGUGCUCCACAGCUCCAGACCCCUUUGUGAUAGGCAUAGGACGUUCUGAGAUUUUUUUUUUAAAAGAGGUUUGUCUAAAUUAAAAGCUCCUGAUGGAGGCUUCUCUUUCCCUAGCCCUUCAGGGAGUGACUUUUCAAGAAGAUUCUAGGCGGACCUCCUCCAAUUCCACCAGCACUUCCUGAGUGUCUGCUGCAUGCAAACGCCCCGCCAGGCCUGGUGAGCAAGACCCAGAGUGAGGGCUCUGGGUGAGGAUGGUGACCUGGUGAAGGAGGCAGAUGCAUAUGGAAGCGGCAAGCACCAGGCAGACAGGCACGUGGAGGAUGAAGAGGGAGUGCGACACAGGCUGGCGUGGCCUUGGCCCUUCCAGGACAGGCAGCAGUCGGCCAGGGGCCACGGGGUGGGGGGGGCCAGGGCCGCGCCCCCCCAGAGCAGGAUGCCCGUAGGGCCCUUGCGGAGGAGGACUGAGCCUGUGCGGUUGGAGGGGUCCUGGGCGGGGUGGGGGGCGAGGGGGGAGAGCAGCAGCUCUGGAUACCAGGCCAAGGCGUUUGGAGUUAGUUCUCUGUGAAAGAGGGAGCAGGGAGUGUGUUUUAAGGCAAGAUGACACUAUCAGAAAAAAGUCAGUAUGGAGCCGGAGCCAGUGAGGAGGCUAUGCUGGGAGCCUGCGAGAGCCCUGCGGCCGGAGCCAGGGGCUGGACUCCCUAUUACCCUCGUUCUCAGGCAAGUCCCAGGGUGCUGCGGAGCCGAAGGGCAGGUCCCACAGCUCUCUGCAUGCCGAGGACGAUGCUGGAGCCAAGCACCAUCCGAGGGAUGCAUGUGUGCGACAACCACGACGUCUCUCACGGUUCCACCCUUCUCUGGAUACAACCUGGGUCUGCAGUUACCAACGUUUCUACUAGAUGCUGGAGUGAAGAGGCCAAGAGAGACCAGAGACAAAGGCAGACCAACGUGGGGUGGGCUAAGUCACCACUCUGCCAGCCACCUGACCGUGCGUGGGGCUCUGCCGUGUCCUGGGAAAGCUUCACGGAGAUGUCGCCGAGAUGAAGAGGGAACGUGGCCACUAAGGUGUUCCAUCCCCCGUGAGAAUGGAGGGCAGGAGCCUCCACUUAAUGUAGUUGGGGCACUAGAAGGCAGUCUGGACAGAUUUUCCUGGGUGAACCCUGAACAGGUAAGUACCUUAAAUUUCGUGCCUUAUGCACACAUGCACACACCCCUCAGACCCCCUCUGAUGGCCUGGUGAUGGUGGCCUUUCCUAGUGCCUGCAGGAGACACAGGUGUGUGCUUACCUGUUUGUAUGGAACCACUGUACUGGCGCCUCGGGCCUUCUGGUAAGUUAGGGGGCAAAGGUGAAGGGCUGACUUGACGCAGUCUUCCUCCCCCUCAGUGCUGGCCGGGGCACAUCAUUCUCGGGCGGCCAUGGGGUGGUCCUCUGCUCUGCAGGGUGGUUCCCCUCUAGUAGCCUCCCCUGCCCCCAUGUCCCGUUCGGAACAAGCACCAGUGUGCCUGGUGUUGUCGCUCACUGCUCCAGGUAGUGGGGCCCCGCAUCAGGGUGUCCACAGCCCACGAAUCAGUCCUUUUCUCAUCAUUCAUCACUUUUUAAUCCCUGGGCAAAGCCGCUUUGUUUCAGCUGAUGGUAUAUCUUGAAAUCUGAAGGGACUGUAGAGUGGAUCCCAGUCAAGGCUUUUAGAGAUGAAGGCCCAGAAGGGGGCUCCCGUCGCAGGACUGGUGACCACCGGUUAUCCACACUUCUCGAGUCCUUCAAGAGCUUGGUCACCCUGCCAUUCAGUUCUUCACUUCCAGCAUCACCAUUCAGCAUCCACCCUGGCCAGGGUGUGAGUAGGAGAGCUUGGAGCUCCCCUCCCCUCGAGGGGCUCCCAACAGGCCCCUUGUCGGGGCAGACGUGUCAUAAUGUCGUGGAUAUUUGUUUUGAAAAUCGUUCUUUGAAGACCAGAAGAGUAAACUUAGAUGAUUUUUUCAUUCCUCUAGCAAACACUUUUGAAGCGUACUUGUUGAAUUCUGAGAACACGAACUCUCCAUCCCUUCAUUAAAGAGCUCACAGAAACCGCCUUCUCAGCCAGUCCAGCCAGACCACUGAAAGGUAUUUCAAGGCUUCCCACCCGCGGCCAGACCAGCCCACAUUGGUGCGCCUCGUGCCCCCAAAGGAGGUGAAAUAUGAACAGUGAGUGGAAUUGCCCAAACAGCUUACACACUUGUUUCCCAACUGCGCAGUUUACAGGCUUGCAUUUCCCACCACCAGACUCUCCCCAAGGCCCCAGAAUGCUAGCUGGCACCUCGGACCAGGAUCCACGAUCCUUCUAAUGAACUGUGAACCUAACAUUUGUGGAAGACAUUGUGCAACUUCGAAGGUUUGUGGUCAAACGGAGUUCAUCCACAACUUAAUCGUUAAGUGUAGGCUCUUCCAGGAACUAGAUUAUAGCUUCCAGAAGUUGUUGAUUGGUUUUUAAAACCCAAAGGACAGUUGGCUGGCCAUGUAUUUGCAGUUCUGUGUACUUGGAGUAGGGGGAAUGAGGUUUUCUUUGAACAGCCGUCUGCAUAUAAUUUCCUCUGAUGAAUAACUAUAGUGUCUGUGUUCCACAGUAAACGUGACGUUUCCCCCUGGCUUUUUCCCAUGAACUUGACCCUCUUACUACACCAGAGACAAUACCACUUGCUCAAAUGCUUUACAAAUUCUUCUCUACUCCAUAGACAUUUCAGCCCUUUUAGCAAUAAUCACCUCUUCCAGUCAUUUGGCUGUUGAACCCUGGGAUCAGAUACCUGUCCCUUGGGAAACAUGAUGGUUUAAAUGAUGAGCAUUUUCUAAAACAGUUUGCAUUUCAUCUCAUACUUCUAUUUUCAAAGUGCUUUUAUGGAUAGUAAUUUUUCCAUAUUUCCUAAGCUUUGUAUUAUCUCUUUUGAAUGAUGGAAAAUUAAACUUAGGGCUGGAGGCAGGGCUUAGAGCCGAGAAGGUGCCUUUGGGUGGGUGUAGGAAUGGGGUAGCCCAAGGCCAUGUCCCCUGGUUCUGCCCAGUCUCAGGGUUACUGCCUGAAAGGUAUUAGCAGUCGCUGGAGUCCAAGAAUAAAGAGAAUUUUUUUUUUCU